GAUGAACGCUGGCGGCGUGCCUAAUACAUGCAAGUCGAGCGAACAGAUGAGGAGCUUGCUCCUCUGACGUUAGCGGCGGACGGGUGAGUAACACGUGGAUAACCUACCUAUAAGACUGGGAUAACUUCGGGAAACCGGAGCUAAUACCGGAUAAUAUAUUGAACCGCAUGGUUCAAUAGUGAAAGACGGUUUUGCUGUCACUUAUAGAUGGAUCCGCGUCGCAUUAGCUAGUUGGUAAGGUAACGGCUUACCAAGGCAACGAUGCGUAGCCGACCUGAGAGGGUGAUCGGCCACACUGGAACUGAGACACGGUCCAGACUCCUACGGGAGGCAGCAGUAGGGAAUCUUCCGCAAUGGGCGAAAGCCUGACGGAGCAACGCCGCGUGAGUGAUGAAGGUCUUCGGAUCGUAAAACUCUGUUAUUGGGGAAGAACAAAUGUGUAAGUAACUAUGCACGUCUUGACGGUACCUAAUCAGAAAGCCACGGCUAACUACGUG
rnacentral:rRNA from 1 species